rnacentral:lncRNA from 1 species
AUGAAAUUUAGUAGAUUUCACCUCUGAAGAGAAUGUCUUUUAAUUCUUUCUUCAUAAUUCCCAACACUAUACCCAAGUCCACACUCUUCAUCUGUUAGACUGAUCUCUUUCCUGGUCCCUGUGUCCCUCCUAUCUAUCCAUCUGUUCCAGUCUAUCUUCCACUCAACCCUGGGAGAUAACUUAUUUGUUUUCUUUUUGUAGUGUGUGCAUGCUGGCAAGUGCUCUACCACUGAGCUACACCCUCAGCCCUGGUGUAGCUGGGGUUCAUAUAACAAGGGGAAAGGGAAUUUUUUUGAGUAUCAACUAUAUGCCAGGUACAAUGUUGAAGAUUUAUACUCAGGUUAUUUAAUCAUUAUAAUACCUAUCUGCAGCAGGAUUGUACUGAUAUGGUAUUUCUACAAAAUGCGAUUUAAGUAGAUUAAGUGUCUUUCUGACACUAACUACCUUCCUAAUAGUGUCCCUCUCUUGCAGGUCAUAUUAUCUUUUUGACUAAAAGAAAACCACUAAUGAAUUUUUUUCACUACUGAUUCUAAUUUACAAAAUAAAAUAUAGGGUUUUGUCUUAGCAUACAAAGAAAAUAAAAUUAUGUAUUUCUACUCACUUAUCAAGACUUUGCCUCUACUCCUAUGGGGUACUAUAAACUCCAGUUGGUCUGGACACUCACAGUUUCUCAGACUUCCAGCUCAUUCCAUGAUUCUGUGCCUUUUGCAUGUGCUGGUUUCUGUCUGGAAUGACUUUUCUUUGGCUAGUGCAUUCCUGUUUAACCUUUAAGACUGAGCACAUGUAAGUCAACUGCUCAAAGGCUUUAGUGACUUCCCCAGCAACCAGUUGCUGGAUUUUGUUGAUCACACAAAUAUAGUAACACAUUCUACACACAUUAUAACCCCCUACUAAGUGACCCUGCUUGUGUUUCUGACUUUCUCACUGUAAUGUCUUCAUGAACUGCAUAGUCAUUAAAAUUUGUAUCUCACACACAUUAUAUAAAAGUUUUCACUGAAGAAGAAUGGAAGGAUUAAAUGAUGAUAAGAGAAAAUUAAUUUUUAAGAAACUCCCAGGAAACAGC